CUUGGGUAGAGAGGCUGUUUCCAAAUAGACCUCCGGCAUUCUUCCCUCCAAGAACUUCCCACCUUGCUCUUGGGGAGACCCGAACUCACAACAUCUCGGUUCGAAGUGGGAAUUGUUUACCAUCAGAGCAACCCCUCUUGUCUAUCGGAAUAAUAUCAAUAUAUUAUUAUUUCCUGAAGAAACAACUCAUAGAACAAAAAUAUUAAACUAACUAAAACCACUCACCCAUUGGCAAAAACCUCCAACACAAACUGGACAAGAAAAAAAUAUCACAUCAUAAUAGUUUCGACAACAUCCCCUUCAGUAUUAUGCUUGAUCAUUACAUAAUAUCUCCUCUUCCUCAUGCACAAUUCGAUGGCUGAUUGGGAUUGUAUGCUAAUCUCCAAAUUGUUUUUUUUUUUUCUGCACAAAAGUUUCCAAUAUCUUCACUGUAUAACCUUUUCAAUUGUAUUAGUCCGGAC
rnacentral:lncRNA from 1 species